AUAUCAUUUCUUUCCUUCUCUCUCUCUUUCUCUCGCGACUGCGAAAAAACGAAGAUUUGUAUUUGGAAUCGAAGGGUGUGGAAGAAGAGGAGAUUGUGGUCGGAAGAGAUACUCAUCAUCGUGAAUUGAUGACUCGGCCGUGUCCCAUCGCGAUAGAUAAAAUAGGAAGAGCUUGAAUCAAUUGGAAUCCCAAGGAUACAUCUUACCUUGGUCAUUGCUGCGACAAUCUGCUGUUGGAUGAUGUGGGCAAUUGUAUAUAUUGCACAGAUGAAUCCUCUGAUUGUCCCCAUCUUAAGUUGAAUCCUCUACUCAUACAAGAGAACCUUAAACUAGAGUUCCAGUCGUGUUUGUAAUUCUUUUACCUUGGUGUGAACAAAUCAAAAACCUUUUGUAAUUUUGUUGUAUUCACUUCUCAUUCAUUCCCCAAAACAAAGCUGAAUCUCCCUUUUGAGAUUACUACAUCCCACAAUGUAUUAAUGUUUUUUAUUAUGUUUUGUAUGUUUACAAAUUAAUUAAAUGCAAUAUUUUCCUAUC